UGCCAGCCGCCGCGGUAACACGGAGGGUGCAAGCGUUAAUCGGAAUUACUGGGCGUAAAGCGACCGCAGGCGGCCUUUUAAGUCGGAUGUGAAAGCCCCGGGCUCAACCCGGGAACUGCAUUCGAAACUGAAAGGCUUGAGUUCGGGAGAGGAUGGUGGAAUUCCUGGUGUAGAGGUGAAAUUCGUUGAUAUCAGGAGGAACACCGGCGGCGAAGGCGGCCAUCUGGCCCGAAACUGACGCUCAUGGUCGAAAGCAUGGGUAGCGAACGGGAUUAGAUA
rnacentral:rRNA from 1 species